AAAGAAUUUCACCAGGUUUCAUUUGAAAUAUGUAAAUGCACAACAAUGUUUAUCAAUUAAAUAACUUUUGUCAUUUUAUUCACAUUUAAAAUUCUUAUUAAGUCACAAUUCAUUACGUCAAUUCAUAAGAAAAUAGCAAAUCGUAUCUACUCUCUAAGUUUAUAUGCACGUAAACGGCAGUCUCUACACUUAUUUUAUUUUGUUACAAUGAAAAUCAAUUAAAAAUUACUUAUAUAGGUAGUUAUAUAAAUCGGACAAUACAGCAAUCUAUUUAAACAAACUUGUCAUAUCUCUCGCAAUAACAUAUCGUACAUGUAUAUAAGUAAUCCAUUAUGUUUCAAUUGCAUCGAACUUCAUAUGCCACCUACAUUUCCCAUUAAUAACCAGCAAACAGGUCUUGAUAACCAGCCGCUAUGAAUAUUACGACCGGCUGACUCCCAAUAUCGUAGGUCGACCAGAAGCUAUUACGUAAUUAAGUGCCGAUUGUCCGAUUGAUUGACAGACUACAUCAGACCGAGGGCUUGCAUUUAACAGGAUUACUAAGCCGAGAUCUUGUUACGUCAUGGCAUUCCAGAAGAUCGUGUCAGAAAAUUAAACACUUACACCAAACGUAGGUUUAACAUUUAAUUUAGAGUUUGAAUUAGGUAGGUACAUUUAUUAAAACCAGAACGAGCCCGCCGCAUCAGCUCACGAUUAAGGACUACGGUUGGGUCCGAAACUAGUCGGGCAACCCCGAUAAAUACGCUUGAGCAAACCGUUGCAUCAUUCUCACAAUAGCUACUACCGGAACUUGAAGUACUUUUUUGUAAACAACAGGCAACGUAUAAUAAAGCUGUAAUACAAAAAAGAUUUUUCCCAUUUCGACCAUCGCAACAAAAGUUGAACCAGUUUAAUUUUACCCAAAAUUGUAUUAGUGGGACGGCGAUAUUUUUCCCUCAUUUUGUCAACAAAGUCUAUUUAACCAGAUUGCAAAGUUAACUUGUUCUUUUUGUUUCCGUUCGUCGGUUAUUGUGGAAAACUUGUUUUAUUUGCUGCAGUAAAUUGAUUUUAAAAUGCAAAUGCCUCUCCUAUCUUUUGUCGUCUGGUACGUGAUUGAGCACAUGCGAAAUGAAUAUCGAUAGGCUUCACCGUCUGAUGGUUUUUGAAUGCGAACAGGCUUUUUGUAACUAUUUUUGGGACACAUGAAAUAUGUGUUUUUUGUGUCUGAUAUGCAGAUCAAAAGUGUUUUCUGUAAUGGAAAAAUGCUUUAAGUGUGUUCGGUGAGUUCAGGGAAAAGGGUUAAAAUCCACAAUACCUGAAUCAUUUCAUGACCGGGUAUUCGAUUAAUUCGAUAAAUAUUCGAAUCGAUUUAAAUCAAUUUUAAAAUAGUGCAUUUCUAAUGGACUAGGUAAUGUUCGCGAUUUCAAAAGGAAAGCACAAAUGGAAAUCGCGAGCGCCUGACAAAAUAAUCUUAGCACUACGAGGAAACGCAGGCCACAGAUUGUUGCUAAUCGAUUUAUUUAUUUUUACCAUCUACCUUCAUUUAUUAAAAUAAUUCAUAUAUACGUAGGUGUCAUGUACGACAACAUCAAGCUACGUAGUUUGCUUAAUUAUUCCUUGAAUUAUACCUGACUACUCCCGCACAUGGUCGUUCGAGCCUUGAUUUGGAGAGAUUAGAAGAAUAUUUACUAGAUCAGUAAAUUUAAUGGAAGGAUUGAAGAGAAUUGGCGGAGAUUGAAUAAUGUAGUCGACGCCAGGUGUGGCCGGUCAACUCCGGUGCGUCAUUUAAAGGACUUUUGGUAUAUACGUGGACACAUCAUAGCUGAUAAAAGGUGUAUUUAUUAAAUUUGUUUGCCCAACAAUCUAUAACAGGUAUUGUGGUCAACCGUUUAUAGCAAGAAAAGACGACGGGACUACGGCCUUGAAGAACGUGGAACGGUGUGCAACGUUUUCCUAAGCCAGCAUCGAAAUUAAGAGUCGCGAGGUUUAUCUGGACUGCAACAGCACGUGUGUCAGUUUCAUCCAAUAAAAUGAUUCCAUUCACCCAGUGUCAGCGUCUAUAAGGGCGACGAUUUGGAUGCCGAAAAUAUCGCAAUUUUAACCAAAGCAGUGUGUUUGAGACAAAAUAAUCGACGGGCUUUCGCCCCGCGAAAAUAGCUACGUGUGACGUGUUCAACCGUCUCGGCAAAGCGCAAAGUCAGCGCCAGCGUUGAUAAGACAAACUGGACAUGAAACGUACCCAGCAUCGUACUAAUAACUAGAUCCUUCAGCAGAUCAUAUUUCAGAGAUUCUUGAAUUUGAGGGCCUGCGAAGUGAAAACUGGAGCUACUUUUAAGACGCCGUGAUGGGCGCUUUAAGUCGUGAGCUGAUUAUCAUUCCAGUGAGGCUUCAAGUCUCAUUUGAGGAACCUAAACUGAACCCUGGGCGGCUUUGCGCCUAGCUGCGCACCCCUUCUGCAGGAUAGCGUCCAGCCCAGAGCGGUUUCAAUCAAGCUUAUCUAACAUCUGGAUAAAUAUAGAAAGGUUAAACUUCACCAAAGAAUUCAUCGGGUAUAGAAGAAAUCUUGACGUCUCCUUGGAGUGAGCCGAGCGCAAGCCGGAGUCGGCCGGAGAAGGAGGAGACACCACAACGGUCCCUGUGGGACACAUCCACCAAAAAACGACGUCUAGGCCCAAUCAAUUUCUACUACAUUUUUAUAUGGUCUAGACAUGAAUUGUAUACUUCGAUAUUUGUAGAAACUCUCAAAUCCAGAAAAAGAAGGUCGGAAAGCUGCAAUGAACUAAAACCCCGCUGCUAUUACUAUUCAGAGAAUAUAUUCAUAAAGGGGACAUUCAAAACGCACUGGUGAUUGUAAAAAUCCGGAUUUAAACUAGAACAACCUAUUGCAUGAUUUAAACCUCCUUGUCCAGCGCAUUCUCAGAUCGUACGUUUAUA